rnacentral:rRNA from 1 species
UGGGGAAUAUUGCACAAUGGGCGCAAGCCUGAUGCAGCCAUGCCGCGUGUAUGAAGAAGGCCUUCGGGUUGUAAAGUACUUUCAGUCGGGAGGAAGGUGUCAAGGUUAAUAACCUUGGCAAUUGACGUUACCCGCAGAAGAAGCACCGGCUAACUCCGUGCCAGCAGCCGCGGUAAUACGGAGGGUGCAAGCGUUAAUCGGAAUUACUGGGCGUAAAGCGCACGCAGGCGGUCUGUCAAGUCGGAUGUGAAAUCCCCGGGCUCAACCUGGGAACUGCAUUCGAAACUGGCAGGCUAGAGUCUUGUAGAGGGGGGUAGAAUUCCAGGUGUAGCGGUGAAAUGCGUAGAGAUAUGGAGGAAUACCGGUGGCGAAGGCGGCCCCCUGGACAAAGACUGACGCUCAGGUGCGAAAGCGUGGGGAGCAAACAGG